GAUCGUCGUAGAACGAUUCCGAGAAUUACUCGUACUAAUCUUUCGCCUUUUACUAAAGAUUACCGUGGACGUCUUACAAACAAUGCGGCUUCACCAAUUUCUGACCUCCCUCUGGGAGGG
rnacentral:snRNA from 1 species